rnacentral:lncRNA from 1 species
CCAACAUCUUUACUGUGAUGCAUUAUUCACUUACUCCAGCUAGACCCUAUUCAAAGCACACACUUUAUACACAGAAACCCAUGAGGUGUGUAUCGUUUCCCCAUUUCAGAGGAGGAGACUGAGCCCCUCAGAGUCUGGGUGAAUUGCCCAACAUCACACAGCUAUUAAGGGAAGCUCAGUACUCUCUACGGGAUGAAAACCGUGAAUUGAUAUACACACACAGAGCCUCCACCAGCAGCCAUGAAGUUUGCAGCCAAGACAAAAUCGCCAGAUGUGGAAACACCUUCAUUUUACUUAGUGGAUAUGAGAAAGAAUAUCCGAACCAGAGCUCUUCCAGAAUAGAAGCAGUUGCUUCAACCAGCAGGAAAUGUUCUGUUCAUGGACAAGUCCAAGCCCCGAAGCCUUGCCAGGACGGUGGCCAAGCAUCACGUGGUGGAGGUUAGGCGGUCUACCUGCCCUACACAAUGUCUCCGUCUUACAAUAAAAUGAUGAGUUUUACAGUUUUAUGGAACA